UCUCCAGUUGUUUUUAAUCUCCUCUAUUUUGAUAUGUGUAUGUACACAUGGACAGAUUUAUAUUGUCAGUUCUCUUUUUUCCUGUGUGGUUUCAUUCAAUGCUUUCUUUUUUCUUAAAUUUUUUCAAACCAAGAUUAGGUUAUGUUUGCCUACUUUUUAUUUUAGCAGCUUUAAAAAUUCCUGGAGUGGUUUCAUAUUGUUUUUACGUCUAUCUGUUUAAUGUACGACAACUUAUUCCAGUGCGUGGUAUGAGUUAAGUCUCCAAUUAGACUUCUUUCCUGAAUUAAAUAGAUGACUUUCCAUGUACUCUUUGGUAAGAAAGCCUAUCCCUUACAUGGCUUUAGGAUGCUUCGCUAUGAAAUGUUAAAUCAUGUUUCUAUUUUAAGAUCAUUGUGCUCAGCGGUUUAUCUGUGAAUUCUAGAGUCUGUGCAGCUUUCUAUGAACACUUUGUUUCAUACAUAGCAUUUCACAGGGAGCGUCCACAACUCUGCUUCCUUUUUUCCCCCUAAUCUCAACUGUUCCUUUCUCCAGACGAACUUUGAAAUUAUUUUGUCAAAUUGCAAAGAAAAUCCUUUUGGGAUUGGAAUUAGAUAUUUUUAACCCUUAUAUUCAAUUGAAAAAACCAUAUUUCUGUAAACUAGUAGAUAGAUUUAAAAAUUGGUUAAAAAUCAUUACAUACUGCUGUGCAUUUGUAAAGUGUAUGUAUUUUUUUAAGUAGAGGUUUCACAAAUGUAAGGAUUAUUCCUAACAUUCUGUUUUCCUAAUGAUGGUGUAAAUAUAAUUUUUUGGUUUUAUUUCUAAUUAUUUCUGGUAUUUAGGAAACUAUUGAUUUUUAAAAUAUUUAUCUUCAAAUUUUUUUCUGUCUAAGCAGAUGCUCACAUGAGUAGCAAGAUGCUAGUUUCACCAGAGGACAGACAAACAUACUCAGUUUCAUGAGUAGAGUGGGCCAGGGAUGGCAGAUCUGCUGUUGGGAAGCUGUGCACACCCAGUGAGACUUCUCCCUUCACGGACCUUGGCUUACAGGAAGAGGGAGGAGAUAUAUGCAGGAGUUAGUGGUAGAGCCAAAUCUUCAUUAGUGCCUUUCAGUAAAAGCAAGAUGUGGCUGGUCUCCUUGGCUUUGAGCCAUGAAAACAGAAAAAAAUCUGUUUGAUACUCUAUUACAUAGCAUCACAGACAGACACAAGCAUGAACAUAUACACAUUAUUUCAUAAUAAACUUUUCUCCAUAGUUCUAAUAGCACACACACACACACAUUAGUCCACUAGAUACUAGAUUGAGAGGUUUCCUCCUGCCACUGUUAUCUAGUUUUCUGAAUAUUAUGUAAAUAUAAUCAUGACCAACACUGGACUGGAUUUCGUCAACUCCUCCUUCCUCCCUCACCUUCCACAGUUAAUCCGUCAACAAGUCCCACUGACUCUUCUUCCAAACAUACCCUGACCUCUCGCUUUCUCUCUCACACCCCUACCAUCCAUUCCCACACAACAGGUAGGAGGAUCUUGUAAAAUAUAAAUCAGAUCUUGUGAGUCAUCACUGAAAACCUUCCGAUGACUUCCCAUUGGCCUUAGAAAAAGAUCAGACUCACUGUGGACGCUCCAGCACGUGAGGUCUUGCCCUCCCUGGUCUCUUUUGCCUCAUCUGGAUCCACUCUCUUUGAAGGUCUCAGCCACCAAGCUCCAUCUACUUGGCCUGUACAGUUCCUCAAACAAGAUGAACUCCUUGCAGCCUCAGCGUUUGCUUCAACUAUUCCCUCUACCUAGAAAUGUGACCCAUUGGAACUUCUGACCAGCUUCUUCCCGAUGUUAGAACCUCAAAUUAAAAGGCACCUCCUCAAAGAGGCCUUCCCUGACUAUUCUCAUCAUAAGGAACUAUUUAUUCACUCCAUUCCAUCCACCCAUUCUCUGGACUUCAUGAACUGUUAACAAUGGCCCCAUUACCUGUCCUAUUCCACUCUUGGAUGCUGCCACAAUUUGUAUUAUCUGACACUGAUUCAGGGAAAGAGGUGCUGUUGAAGAGGAGUGGGGUGAAAACUGAGGAUAAAGGGGUGGCUUCAGCUGCCACGAAUACAACUCUCAGUAAAGGAGAUAACUGCUGGCUUUCUGAUGGAUGAGCCAGACUUUUGGCAGAAGUGGGUGGCAACAUUUUUCUACCUUACUCCUGCUUGCCCUGGAACCUCUUAAAGCCUGGAAUUGGAAUGGUCAUGACCUUGUUGAUGACUUUUGAUGGCCAGUGACUGAUAAUUCUUGCACAGGUUGGCAAACUGCUGAUAGGCAUUUCUUGUUCCCAGUGCCAAAAAAUAACUUUAUGUAUUGUGACUUUAUAACUUUUUUGUGCUUAAAUGGAAGUAUGACCAUGAAGUUUGGGUAGAGAUAAGGUUUCAUCAUAGCCUAAAAGCCCACAGGCAUUGCUGGCAAUACAACAAAGGUGAAACUGAAGUAGUUUUAUUCUCAGCUCAUAGCAUUCAACGUCAGUUUUAGAGAAAUGUGUUUUAACAUAUUCCUCAGUCUUUUCUUCACUUAGUCAACAUGACUUCUAUAAGUAAUGCACAAAUAGCAUGUACCCAGUAAAUAAAAUCAUAGUUGAAAA